AGAUUGAACGCUGGCGGCAUGCCUUACACAUGCAAGUCGAACGGCAGCACGGGAGCAAUCCUGGUGGCGAGUGGCGAACGGGUGAGUAAUACAUCGGAACGUGCCCAAUCGUGGGGGAUAACGCAGCGAAAGCUGUGCUAAUACCGCAUAAGAUCUACGGAUGAAAGCGAGGGGAUCGCAAGACCUUGCGCGAAUGGAGCGGCCGAUGGCAGAUUAGGUAGUUGGUGAGGUAAAGGCUCACCAAGCCUUCGAUCUGUAGCUGGUCUGGAGAGGACGACCAGCCACACUGGGACUGAGACACGGCCCAGACUCCGUACGGGAGCAGCAGGUGGGAAUUUUGGACAAGUGGACGAAAGCGUGAUCCGAGCCAGU
rnacentral:rRNA from 1 species